AGAGUUUGAUCCUGGCUCAGAGUGAACGCUGGCGGCGUGCCUAAUACAUGCAAGUCGAACGAUGAAGCUUCUAGCUUGCUAGAAGUGGAUUAGUGGCGCACGGGUGAGUAACGCAUAGGUCAUGUGCCUCUUAGUUUGGGAUAGCCAUUGGAAACGAUGAUUAAUACCAGAUACUCCCUACGGGGGAAAGAUUUAUCGCUAAGAGAUCAGCCUAUGUCCUAUCAGCUUGUUGGUAAGGUAAUGGCUUACCAAGGCUAUGACGGGUAUCCGGCCUGAGAGGGUGAACGGACACACUGGAACUGAGACACGGUCCAGACUCCUACGGGAGGCAGCAGUAGGGAAUAUUGCUCAAUGGGGGAAACCCUGAAGCAGCAACGCCGCGUGGAGGAUGAAGGUUUUAGGAUUGUAAACUCCUUUUGUUAGAGAAGAUAAUGACGGUAUCUAACGAAUAAGCACCGGCUAACUCCGUGCCAGCAGCCGCGGUAAUACGGAGGGUGCAAGCGUUACUCGGAAUCACUGGGCGUAAAGAGCGCGUAGGCGGGAUAGUCAGUCAGGUGUGAAAUCCUAUGGCUUAACCAUAGAACUGCAUUUGAAACUACUAUUCUAGAGUGUGGGAGAGGUAGGUGGAAUUCUUGGUGUAGGGGUAAAAUCCGUAGAGAUCAAGAGGAAUACUCAUUGCGAAGGCGACCUGCUGGAACAUUACUGACGCUGAUUGCGCGAAAGCGUGGGGAGCAAACAGGAUUAGAUACCCUGGUAGUCCACGCCCUAAACGAUGGAUGCUAGUUGUUGGAGGGCUUAGUCUCUCCAGUAAUGCAGCUAACGCAUUAAGCAUCCCGCCUGGGGAGUACGGUCGCAAGAUUAAAACUCAAAGGAAUAGACGGGGACCCGCACAAGCGGUGGAGCAUGUGGUUUAAUUCGAAGAUACACGAAGAACCUUACCUAGGCUUGACAUUGAGAGAAUCCGCUAGAAAUAGUGGAGUGUCUGGCUUGCCAGACCUUGAAAACAGGUGCUGCACGGCUGUCGUCAGCUCGUGUCGUGAGAUGUUGGGUUAAGUCCCGCAACGAGCGCAACCCCCUUUCUUAGUUGCUAACAGGUCAUGCUGAGAACUCUAAGGAUACUGCCUCCGUAAGGAGGAGGAAGGUGGGGACGACGUCAAGUCAUCAUGGCCCUUACGCCUAGGGCUACACACGUGCUACAAUGGGGUGCACAAAGAGAAGCAAUACUGCGAAGUGGAGCCAAUCUUCAAAACACCUCUCAGUUCGGAUUGUAGGCUGCAACUCGCCUGCAUGAAGCUGGAAUCGCUAGUAAUCGCAAAUCAGCCAUGUUGCGGUGAAUACGUUCCCGGGUCUUGUACUCACCGCCCGUCACACCAUGGGAGUUGUGUUUGCCUUAAGUCAGGAUGCUAAAUUGGCUACUGCCCACGGCACACACAGCGACUGGGGUGAAGUCGUAACAAGGUAACCGUAGGUGAACCUGCGGUUG
rnacentral:rRNA from 1 species